UUGAACCUAAGACGGUACACUUCCUAUUGACUGACAGAAACUUCUCAGGGAUGUUUCCACUCUGCUCUGGAUUACUCUGAACUGGGUCAUGUGCACAUCAUUAGGACUGACUCUGGGUGAUAGGGGUAGAUUCAGCCUUCCAGGACCCAGACGGAUGGAUGUUGGCAAGCUAACUCAACGACUGCAUCAUGAAAUCCUUUUUGUAUUAACCAUUUUGGUCUAUAGUGGUGCUUUCCAACUCAGGCUGCCUGCUAGCAUGACCUGGUCAUGAUAACCUGUGAUUCCAAUUAAAGAUUUUUUAAAAAAGAGAAGAGUUCAGCCCUUCAAGUAUUGGUUUGCCCUCCUUAAGCCAGAGCAGCACCCUUGAUGAUGGCGUAGCUAGAAUAUGCAAGGAGCCUGGAUCCUGGAGUCACUAUCAAAGGACAACUUCAACGGGAGGACUUCUGGACUGUAUGGAACAUGAAAUAAAAGUUGAUUGUGUUAAG